rfam:Hordeum vulgare subsp. vulgare, WGS project CAJW01000000 data, contig: morex_contig_276329
GUAAUACUCCAUCCAUCCCAAAAUUUUGUCUUAGGUUGUGUACAAAUGGAUGUAUCUAAAUAGUAAAAUGUGACUAGAUACAUUCAUAUCUAGACAAAUCUAAGACAAGAAUUUUAGGAUGGAGGAAGUAGCAA